rnacentral:rRNA from 1 species
GACGAACGCUGGCGGCGUGCCUAAUACAUGCAAGUCGAACGCAGUGGGGACGGGUGAGUAACAAGUGGGUAACCUCCCAUCAGAGGGGAUAACACUUGGCAACAGGUGCUAAACCGAUAUUGACGGAUGGACCCGGGGUGCAUUAGCUAGUUGGUGAGGUAAAGGCUCACCAAGGCGACGAUGCAGAGCCGACCUGAGAGGGUGAUCGGCCACACUGGGACUGAGACACGGCCCAGACUCAUACGGGAGGCAGCAGUAGGGAAUCUUCGGCAAUGGACGAAAGUCUGAUCGAGCAACGCCGCGUGAGUGAAGAAGGUUUUCGGAUUGUAAAACUCUGUUGUUAGAGAAGCGUUAUCUAACCAGAAAGCCACGGCUAACUACGUGCCAGCCGCCGCGGUAAUAC